CUCUCCCUUCCUCUUUCUCUAAAAGCAAUAAAAACAUAUUUCUCUCUUUAAAAAACUGGACUAACUGGAAGCCCUAAAGGGAAGGGUUGGUCAUAAAAUGGUUAUUGUUUGAUGCAGUGUUUGUGGAGCUUGUAUUAUUCUGUUUAGUGCAACACAGGAACUAGGGUUGAUCUUUGAGCAAAGAAUAGAUCUGAGCAGAUACAUUUUAUCUGGCUCUGCAGGCAGAGAUUUAAUCAGGCUGUUUCAGCAAAGCUGCUAAAACCUAUUCCUGCCCAAUCUUAAAAUUUUCUCAUGUCCCUUUCUCUACUUCUCUGAGGCUUACAGUAUCUAGAUUAUUUCAUUCAGCUUGCAGAACUACAUAAGGAACCAUUUUCUACUUGCCUCCCUUGUCCUCCAUAUUCUCAGAAGUGAGCAGGUAGAAAAGGAGCUCAAGGAGUUUGGAGGAGAUAUGAUCUGCUCCCCAACUGAUGAAGCAAAAUGAGUUGAAAAAUGGAUGAAGUUCCUUAUGGGGAAACCUCCUUAUAAACUGAAAUUUGCCAAGCACUGGAGCCCCUUAGGCUGGGAGAGAGGGUGACCUAUGGAGGCUCUUUUUCAAACUUCCCUCCUCACCUAUCUAGAUGAUCAGACCCUCCUACUGAAGGUGGUGUAUGGAGCACAAAAACUCAUCCUAUGGUCUCUUCCCAGCUGGCUCAGGGGCCAAACCAUCAGCAGCUGCAUUGCGGGCACCAGAGUUAGUCAACAGGGUGAGUCCUGCCUACUGACAAUUCUGCUGCCCAGGUGCCACCUGGUGGUGGUAAGCAAUAAAGGGAAUGGAACCUGCCACCUUUCAGUGCACAGGAUGAUGUAUCAACCAACUAAGCCACAUGGCCAGAGCACAACCAAUUUUUUAGAGGGAGGGUCAAUCCAAAUAGAUACAAACUGACCCGUUGGAUUUAGUCAAUACAAGUUACAAACACUUUCAAUAUUACUUAAUAUGUCCUUGUGUUACUGUUGAUAACAGAGCCUUCCAUAUUUUUAUACACGUUUUCAAUAAAACAUAACCCUUGGGUAUAUCACUAGAUUUCUCUAACAUGAAUGCACUAAUCAACAUUUAUACAUGUUCAGUUUGGAUUCUACCAAACUCUACUAUGAAUGGAACCAUAAUUAUUAUUUUAUUUGUAAUGGUUUUGGAGGUGAGAAAGAGGAAAGCAGCUCCUGACAUUCAGGAACUGGCCUGAACAGCUCGGCUUCAGAGCUGUUAGGGGCUGACCUGGGUUCAGAGGUAAGAAACGGUGUACUAUUGGACACAAACUCACAAAACACCAACAUAGGACAAGGCAUUCAGUGACUAUCACAAUUUUGUCUAAGUACAAAACAAGGUCAAGUGUGCAAACCACAAGAUGACAAACAUCCCCCUCAUCCAGCUGAGUGACUACUGUUUCAUUACCAAUUACAACUUUGCUUCACUCUGGUCUGUCCUUUAUCAGGAUAAAAUAAUAACAGAAUUAUCUAUCCCUGCUUUUCAGAGAUCACUCAAUCCAGAAUGAAGUCCCACUUCCUUAAACCUUCCCCCAAAUCAGUUAACCAAAAUGUAAGUCUUGUAAGUCCUAAUCCCCUUUCACUUUCUACAACCACAGUUCUCAUGGCACGCUCUCUCCAUCAUUCCUAUGAGCAUUAAACCCAGCUUGUUCAACUGCAGGUGUAUUCCUGGUGGUCUUUAGCUGGAGGAUGUUAAUAAAGGACAUACAAUGUAUAGUU